GAGAACUCUUUACGAACAUUUGCAAAGCGGCAACAUCAAUAUUGCGACAUGCAUCAAUUAUUCUUUGACGUAGAUCAAAGAUAGUUGCUGGCUGAAUGACGUAUGCCAUUUGUUUCAAGUAGCCCCAUAAAAAAAAAGUCCAGAGGUGUAAAAUCGGGCGACCUGGCUGGCCACUCGGUAGGCCCUCGACGACCAAUCCACCGAUUAGGGACGUCGAGAGGCAAACGUCGGUACAAUAUCUACCGAAUGGCGAAAAGGUGGUGACCAACGUAGAAACCCGUUAUUCAACUUACUAGAAAUGUUCGUCUGCUAUGCAAUAUCCGAGUUCGAAAAACAAUAAAGAGGCAUCACCGAUGCAUUUUUUUCAAUGAAAAUGAAGUGCAGUGAAGGCCUAGUUGUUGUGGUCAUCUACUAUGUCAGCCUGAUUUUGUCUUUUACAGAACCUGCAGUUGCAAACAAUGCCGACCCAUUAAUAAUCCAUAAUAGAUCACCAGGAGUACCGGGAUGUUUUUCUCUGCUUUUCCCCAUAUUUUCUGUGCACAGUACUACGAAACAAACAACAACAGUAGAGGAUGUUGCGGAAGCAGAAGAAUCGGAAGUAGAGGCUGCAGAGGAAGUUGCUGAUAAACCGGAAGAGGAGGUGGCAGAAGAGUAACGAUAAUUUAAAGUGUAUUAAAAGCAAUAAAAUAUGGUUUAUUAUU